rnacentral:misc_RNA from 1 species
GUGAAUCAUCGAAUUUUUGAACGCAAAUUGCACUCUUCUCGGAGAGUAGGCCUGUUUGAGGGUUAGCCUAUAAAAAAUCGACAUCGUUGGUGUUGGGCGGCGGCGUGCGUCGGAAAUUGGGUCAUCUUGAAUCUUUUUGUUUUAAGCGACUUAAAAUAUUCUUUUUGGUUCCAUGAACGUUACUACGAUUUAUUUAUUUACAC